ACCGUACUCCUACGGGAGGCAGCAGUGGGGAAUAUUGGACAAUGGGCGCAAGCCUGAUCCAGCCAUGCCGCGUGAGUGAUGAAGGCCUUAGGGUUGUAAAGCUCUUUCAGUAGGGAAGAUAAUGACGGUACCUACAGAAGAAGCCCCGGCUAACUUCGUGCCAGCAGCCGCGGUAAUACGAAGGGGGCUAGCGUUGUUCGGAUUUACUGGGCGUAAAGCGCACGUAGGCGGAUUGUUAAGUCAGGGGUGAAAUCCCGGAGCUCAACUCCGGAACUGCCUUUGAUACUGGCAAUCUCGAGUCCGGAAGAGGUGAGUGGAACUCCUAGUGUAGAGGUGGAAUUCGUAGAUAUUAGGAAGAACACCAGUGGCGAAGGCGGCUCACUGGUCCGGUACUGACGCUGAGGUGCGAAAGCGUGGGGAGCAAACAGGAUUAGAAACCCCAGUAGUCCUUGAC
rnacentral:rRNA from 1 species